GGAUCACGAGCGGUGCCCCUUGAGCGCCCCCUGCCUAGAGGCCAAGGAACUGCCGGUGUAGCAGUGUGAUGUUAUUACACUAGAUUGACAAGUGAAUUAGUCCGGUAGGAUACUGUAUCAGCACCGGCAGCUUUUAUUUUGAAAAUACGACAGAGCCAUUGAAAAACAACGGGUUACUUCCUGUUUCUAAAUUAUUAUUUUUAUUCAAAUUUAAUUUGUUACGAAUGAAGAUGUAAAUUAUUAUCUUUACUAUUGAACACAUUGAGUUCAUGGAUUCUUGUUUUGAGUGUUAGUUCAGGGGUUUAAGAAGACAAAUUAACGGAUCAUACCACUAAAGUCUGUGAAGGGUUUCCCCAUGCCCUUCGUCGUGCUCUUCCUGUUCAGAUUCCGUGAGAAGAGGCGCUGUGGAACUCUAAUGAGAAAAGGCCUGUUUUUGACUAUUUUCUAUUUGAAUGCAGGAGCAUUAAAAGUGCCUUCAGAUCAGCCGUGGCCUGAUUAUUAUUUCUCACAAGACACAACGCAGAAUCAACUACGCUACACCGGCCUCACCUACAACCAGUUCUCUGCCGUUUAUGAUCGCGCAGCAGCACACGAAAACAUGUUACCUGC